CUGGCACCUUUCCAUCCCGGUUAUGUGGUUUCCUCUAAUUCAAAACAGACAAAAAUUGUAUCCAAUUUGCACCAACAAUUUUAACAUAAGUUAUAAUUUUGUCUCCUCUCUAAUUGUAAAUACGCUGCUGUAUCACCUCAUAAGCAUAAAUAAUAAGUUAUAAUAAUAAUAUAUACAAGUAUAUUAAAUAUUUUUAAAAUUAAUUAAAAAAAAAAUUUUUCUUUCUUUUUAAAAUAUGAAACUGCUUAAGUUUUGUCCACGAGUGCGUUAUAUGUGUGCCAAACGAAGCACCUUUAAUUAUCCAUCAGAACACUGUACAUCACUCUGGUAGAAAACUUUACCAGUGAAUAUAUACUGUGGAUCUAUAGAAAUAAUGGAAAUUGAAAAUUAUUUCCACAAAUUUCUUCCUCACUUCGAUCAAGUUGACAAACCGCGGUGCGGAUGUUGUAGACCGGCCCUCACAGUCAACUGGGGGGUGUUUGGGGGUCGGUCAGACAACCUGGGGGUCGGCUGUUCACAACAAUGUACGUUACAACAAUGGGGUCGGCUGUUUAUAACAAUUAGCGCUACAACAAUGUGGUGAACGUGGGAGGUUUGUAACCGCUGGUUUAGAGAGAGGUUUGAGAAAUAUAUUUUAAUCUAUUUCUACAUAUACCCAGGUUGGUAGGUCGCUGGGAGGUGAACCGAGCGUCUGCGGGGAUCCGUGCCAGAAUGCCGAGAAAUAAAAAGAUUAAUUUAUUUAUAUUAUUUUAAAAUGUUUUAAGAAUGAAUUAAUGACAAGUGUCCUCAGCCAACUCACGGCCGUGUCUCGUGUUGUACAGUACUUUACCUUUGUAUUAAUGCAAGAAUAUCACAUCAAAACAAUAUUGCAUUUUAUUUUGAAAAAAUAAAAAUAAAAAAUCUCCAUAAUCAAAACUUUUUUUAAAAAAUAUAUUCGAUACACAAUAAAAAUAUGUUAAAAAUUGAAAUAUUCAAAAAUGACAAAAAUUCAUGUUAUUUUACACAUAUUCUGUAAUACACUAAAAUAAACAGAAGCUAUUAUGUAUAUCAAUGAAAUUUAUGUAAAAAUAAGGGGGGAUAUAGGAGAAUAUUUUUAAAUAGUUUCACAUUUAUUCACUAGAUGGCAGCAGGUGUCCGUUGUUACCUCAACAAUCGAUUCAAGAAAAAUCAUCGAAAGCAAAAUAAAUAGCUAUUUAUUGAUUAAUUCUAUAUCCAUAUAGUAUAUUAAUAUGUGUAAAUAAAAACCAACUUGAAUAAAGUGUUAAAUUGAGAAAAAGUAACUACAGUAAGUUUAAAUAUAACUUCUAAGAAAUGCUGCCGGCUGGGAGUCGUGGCGUGCUCCUGUAAUCCAGCUACUUGGAGGCCGGGGUUGGUGGACGGCUUGAGGCGAGGAGUCCUCCCUUCUGGUUCCCUAUGUUGACCGGAUGUCCGCACUAGGCCCAGCGUCAAUAUGGCGACCCCGGGGGAGCCCGGGGCCUCCAGGUCAGCUAAGGAGGAGUGGACCGGCCCAGGGCGGAAACGCAGCAGGCAAAAGCUCCCGCGCAGGGCGGUAGUGGGAUCGCGUCCGUGAAUAGUGUCCAGAUGGGAGCCUCGCUGAUAUAGUUGGACCCAACUCUUUUUUUUUUAAUUGUUAUUUUUAUAAUUUUAAAAAAUAAUUUCUGUUAUAAAAGAACAUUUCACAAUUUUUGUAUGCUCUAACGACGCUGAUGGUCACAGGUUCGAACCCCGACAUGGCAAUUUUUUU